rnacentral:rRNA from 1 species
GGAGGCAGCAGUGGGGAAUAUUGCACAAUGGGCGCAAGCCUGAUGCAGCCAUGCCGCGUGUAUGAAGAAGGCCUUCGGGUUGUAAAGUACUUUCAGCGAGGAGGAAGGCGUUAAGGUUAAUAACCUUAGCGAUUGACGUUACUCGCAGAAGAAGCACCGGCUAACUCCGUGCCAGCAGCCGCGGUAAUACGGAGGGUGCAAGCGUUAAUCGGAAUUACUGGGCGUAAAGCGCACGCAGGCGGUCUGUCAAGUCGG